rnacentral:rRNA from 1 species
GACAGAGGGUGCAACGUUGCUCGGAAUUACUGGGCGUAAAGGGCGUGUAGGCGGGAAGGUCAAGUCGGGCGUGAAAUCCCCAGGCUCAACCCUGGGAACUGCACUCGAAACUGCCUUUCUUGAGUGUCGGAGAGGAAAGCGGAAUUCCUGGUGUAGAGGUGAAAUUCGUAGAUAUCAGGAGGAACACCAGUGGCGAAGGCGGCUUCUGGACGAUAACUGACGCUGAGACGCGAAAGCGUGGGGAGCAAACAGG